rnacentral:misc_RNA from 1 species
GUAGGUGAACCUGCGGAAGGAUCAUUACCGAGUUCAUGCCCUCACGGGUAGACCUCCCACCCUUGAAUAUUAUACCUUUGUUGCUUUGGCGGGCCGCCUCGGCUACCGGCUUCGGCUGGUGAGUGCCCGCCAGAGGACCCAAAAUUCUGAAUUAAAGUGUCGUCUGAGUACUAUAUAAUAGUUAAAACUUUCAACAACGGAUCUCUUGGUUCUG